GAAGACGGCCUAAUACCGUAUGAUAUCGUUUGCUGACAUCAAAUAACGAAUUAAAGGUUUAGNCGGUUAUGGAUGGGGAUGCGUCUGAUUAGCUUGUUGGCGGGGUAACGGCCCACCAAGGCAACGAUCAGUAGGGGUUCUGAGAGGAAGGUCCCCCACAUUGGAACUGAGACACGGUCCAAACUCCUACGGGAGGCAGCAGCG
rnacentral:rRNA from 1 species